rnacentral:rRNA from 1 species
UAGAUACCCUGGUAGUCCACGCCGUAAACGAUGAUAACUAGCUGCCGGGGCACAUGGUGUUUCGGUGGCGCAGCUAACGCAUUAAGUUAUCCGCCUGGGGAGUACGGUCGCAAGAUUAAAACUCAAAGGAAUUGACGGGGGCCUGCACAAGCGGUGGAGCAUGUGGUUUAAUUCGAAGCAACGCGCAGAACCUUACCAGCGUUUGACAUCCUCAUCGCGGAUUUCAGAGAUGAUUUCCUUCAGUUCGGCU